GUCAUCUCUGGAGAAAUGCACAGACCUCUCUCCUGGUCAUGUCCUUCACCUUGGCAAAAUGAACUUCUAAAUUGAUUGAGACCUGUCUCAGAUAGUUUUUGGUUUACAGUUUCAAUGUUGGUGGGCUCUCCAAUUCUGAAAUUUUGUUCUAAGCUCCUAAGAUCUCAUCUCCCAUGUCAAGGUUGAAAUUCUCUCCAGGAGACAGUCAUGCCUUGCUGCCUUCCAGUGACCAGGAUGAAAGAUGCACCCAUGAAUUAUAUAUUUCAAGUCAUCUCUAAAUUGCCUGGCAAUUACAGAACAGCAAGGUCAGCUGCCGGGAGCAAGAACCUCCCCUUCGGCAGAGAAAAGCAGAUGGAUGGAAACACAACGAUGUACAGAAAGAUGUUACCUCUUGGAGAUGGAGUCUUUCUCUGUCACCCAGGCUGGAAUGCAAUGGAGCGACCUCAGCUCGCUGCAACCUCUGCUUCCCAGGUUCAAGAGAUUCUCCUGCCUCAGCCUCCCAAGUAGCUGGGAUUACAGGCACCUGCCACCACGCCCAACUAAUUUUUUCUUUUGUAUUUGAAAUGCACAAUUUCUAAUGUUCACCAUGACUCUAUAAGAUGCUGGUCACCACAGAUGCUGGUCACCACCAAGCCCUUUUAUAAGUGUCCUUACAAAAAGAGGAAAUCAGGACAGAUACAUCCAGAGGGAAGACGCUAUGAAGACACAGACAAGACGGCCAUCUAUGCCAAGGAGAGGGGUGGGAAGCAAAUUCUUUCCACACAGACCUCGGAGGAACCAACCCUGCUGACACCUUAAUUUUGGACUUCCAGCUUCCAGAACUGUGAGAUAAUAAAUUUUGGUUGUUUAAGCUA